rnacentral:lncRNA from 1 species
AUUGCUUUUUCUGGUUAAUCAAGAUGAUGAUAAUUCUUUGAUCUAUUAAUGGUAUAAAUUGCAGAAAUUAAUUUUUUAAUGUUAAGUCAUCGGAACAUUCUUGGAAAUAAUUAAAAUAAUUACUUCCUAGUAUUAUAUUUUAAAUCUUGCUAUUAUUCAUGAAAGAUAAUAUUCUCUGGUUUUCAUUUUUUCUUUUUAUUUCCUUUAGGUGUUGGCACUGAGUUUAAUCGAGCUUCAAAAGAUGAAUUGGGUGGUUCUGCCACCUGCCUCGCAAGCACCAAGGACCCGAGUUCGAUCCCCGGUACCAAAAAAAAAAAAAAAAGAUGAAUUGGGAAACUAUCCUUUUAACUCUAUGAUCCAGAAAAAUGUAAAAAACAUAUCGAAGAAUUAUUUGUAUCUGGAAGACUCUUCAGAAAGGGGGUGGAAGAAUAAGAAAGAAGAAGCAAGCGAAGGUAUUUUAAAGACAAAUUUCCCUCUUCCCAUUCAGGUCCUAACUCAUCCUGCCAAAUGUGGAGCUCCGUGUGCCUAGGCCUUCCCUUCUAGGUGGGGCUUUCACUCUACAGCAACUCCAGCCAUCCUACAAAUGAAAAUUGGGAAUAAAGCUUGUGUUGAUUUCCACACUCUUGUUGUGUCCACUUUUCAACAUAUUCUUUUUAUC